ensembl:lncRNA
CUUCGUAGCUUACCAAAGUUGUACUAGAACAUUUUUGACAGAUUUUUGAGCACCGUGUACCACCUGAAAUUGGUUCGAGAGAAAAGUCCAGCUGACCCCCUGUGCAGGAAAGACCAGGCAAGAGGGGAUUCAAAAAAAAGAAAAGAAAAAGACCAGAGAGCAAGCGCUGGCAACUCCUGAUGAACUCAGCUCCUACCUCGCUGCUCCUUCCAGCACUCGGGGUGAAUGAAGUGUGAGACAAAGUAAUCUUCAGACUGUCUGAAGCUUGGAUAAAGGAUUGUGGCCCGAACAUCCCCAGCAGACUUCAGCCUGUUACAUUAGAAUGCAGCACACAUGACUUCACAUUAUAAGAAAAUUGGCUCAUAAAAUAAUCAUGA